rnacentral:lncRNA from 1 species
AUUUCAGUGAAACAAUAAUAGAGAGAAUAUAGACUAUAGAGUACACAGACACAGUACACAUUAUUUAAAAAUUAAAACAGUGAAACAAUAUUCCAGUCACAGAUUAUUUAAAAAUUAAAACAGUGAAAUAGUGCACAACAGCUGAACGGCAUCAGGCUUCAGACAUCAGCCAUCAGGCGUCUGCACUAGCUUAGGCUUCACCGCACGUCCGCACUAGCUCAGGCUUCACCACUUCAGUCCAUAGCUGAACGCCUGAACGGCAUCAUGCGGCAUGCGCAUUGCGCAGUGGCAGACUGGCAGUGUGGCACAGGCACUAGCUCAGGCACAAGGCGCACAACGGCACAAGUGCACAAUGGCACAAGCACAACAGUCAAUAGAGAACAGACAACAGGCGGUCAGGUCUAAGCACCGCACAACAGAACAGACAACACCAAUUCAAUCCAUAGUACCUAUCUCCAUGUCUAAGCACCGCACAACACCAAUUCAGACAACACUAAGCACUAAGCAGUAAGCACCGCACAGGACCACUCUCCAAUCUCCAUGUCUCCAUACUAGUACCUGUUCAACAGCAAAAGGCAGACAACACCAAUUCAGUCCAGAGAUUUCAGCAUAGGAUUUCAAUUAGGAACAACACCAAUUUCAGUCCAGAGAUUUGAGCAAAUUAGCGCAGAACAAAAAGGCCAGGUGAUUUCAUACCAGAUUAUCAGCAUGAAGCCAAGCCAUGAACUGGCGCAGUGGCUUGCCGACGACGACUUGGCUGCUGGAGCGUUAGGCGCUGGCCGAGGGGCGAGGGCGCUGGCCGCCUGAUGCUGUCAAGCUGGCCAGCUGGGCGGUGCGCGCUGCCGCUGGCCGAGGGCGCUGGCCGGCUGGCCGCCUAAUGGCUGUACGCCUGUACCGCUGGACGCUGGUCGCUGGCCACCUGACGCGGUGAUGGCUGGUCGCCUGUCGCCGGCGACCGUCGUGCUGGGCUGCUGGCUUGCUGCCUUGCCUUGCCUGGUGCCGACUGCCGAGUGCUGAGUGCUGACCUCGGAGCGAGAGCGACAGCGUCGGAGCCUUCAGUCUUGCAGCCAGCAGCCGUCACCUCCAGUCCUCCAGGGAGCUAGCCAGCUAGGGUUUGCCGUUUGUGGCGUCUCACGGUCUCAGCUCUCAGGGUCUGGCCGUGGAGCGUGGACGACUGGCCGACUGGGAAUUGGGAUGGGAGUCUGCGUCUAGCUCUGGGCCUCUGGCCGUCUGGGGCUGGGCCGCUGGGACUGGGAGCUUGGGCGCUCUGGCGCGCAGCGCGCUGCUGCUUGGGCCUUGGGCCACUAUCCGCGAGACCGUGAG